rnacentral:tRNA from 1 species
GGGGAAUUAGCUCAAGUGGUAGAGCGCUUGCUUAGCAUGCAAGAGGCAGUGGGAUCACAUUCUCCA